GCUUGUCUCAAAGAUUAAGCCAUGCAUGUCUAAGUAUAAACAACUUUAUACUGUGAAACUGCGUACAGCUCAUUAUAUCAGUUAUAAUUUAUUUGAUGGUGAUUUACUACAUGGAUAACCGUGGUAAUUCUAGAGCUAAUACAUGCGUAAGAUCCUGACUAACGAAGGGACGUAUUUAUUAGAUACAACCGACCUCCUUCUGGAGCCUUUUGUCGACUCAUAGUAACUUCUCGAAUCGGAGGCUUGCCUCCGAUAGUUCAUUCAAAUUUCUGCCCUAUCAACUUUCGAUGGUAAGGUAUUGGCUUACCAUGGUUACAACGGGUAACGGGGAAUUAGGGUUCGAUUCCGGAGAGGGGGCCUGAGAAAUGGCCACCACUUCCAAGGAAGGCAGCAGG
rnacentral:rRNA from 1 species